UGCAGCUUCUAAUAAGAGCUAUCAGUACGGAUGAGCGAAUAUUCGGCCGUUUCGUAUAUUCCAACAAAUAUUACAGUAUUCGAAGUCGCUUUGAUACGAAUUCAGAUUAUUUGAGAUGAAUGAAUAUAUGUAUACUGUACCACUGCACCCCGUGAUAUGGUUUCGCUGCAGCGCGCAUAUGUAUACAUUUGACCACAUAUAGCCCCCUGUAAAGGUGGUUUCACUGCAGCGUCUGGUUGCUGUGCCGUGAAACAACCCAUCCAGGGGAAAUCUGCACUGCUGCGAAGCCACACUUCAAGGUUAAAUGUACAUAUUUUUUUAAAGUUUAAAAGCAUGUUAUAUGGGCUUAUAUGCAUUAAGCAUAGCAAUUUUUAAAUUGUAAUGUAGUGCCCCACUUACAACUUGCACCCUAUUCAAAUUUCAAUAUUAUUCAAGGCUGCUUCAUUUCUAACCAAAAAAGGGACAUUCACUCCUACAUAGUUCCAAUCCUUAAAAAUAUCAUGCAAGGGUCAUGACAAAAAUGCUGAUUGAUCUUAAUAAUAUGCGGUAAAUACUAUUCGAACUAUUUGA
rnacentral:lncRNA from 1 species